rnacentral:rRNA from 1 species
UACGUAGGGUGCGAGCGUUGUCCGGAAUUACUGGGCGUAAAGAGCUCGUAGGUGGUUUGUCGCGUUGUUCGUGAAAACUCACAGCUCAACUGUGGGCGUGCAGGCGAUACGGGCAGACUAGAGUACUGCAGGGGAGACUGGAAUUCCUGGUGUAGCGGUGGAAUGCGCAGAUAUCAGGAGGAACACCGGUGGCGAAGGCGGGUCUCUGGGCAGUAACUGACGCUGAGGAGCGAAAGCGUGGGGAGCGAACAGG